GACGAACCGUGCGAACGUUAUUCGGAAUCACUGGGCUUAAAGCGCGUGUAGGCGGGAGGGCACGUCCGUCGCUGAAAUCCCCCGGCUCAACUGGGGAACUGCGCGGGAAACUGUGGGGCUAGAGUUCAGGAGAGGGAAGCGGAAUUCCGGGUGUAGCGGUGAAAUGCGUAGAUAUCCGGAGGAACACCGGUGGCGAAGGCGGCUUCCUGGACUGACACUGACGCUGAGGCGCGAAAGCUAGGGGAGCAAACGGG
rnacentral:rRNA from 1 species